rnacentral:rRNA from 1 species
GAUGAACGCUGGCGGUAUGCCUAACACAUGCAAGUCGUACGAGAGUUUUUAACUCUAGUGGCGGACGGGUGAGUAACACGUGAGAAUUUGCCUUUAGGAGGGGGACAACAAUUGGAAACGAAUGCUAAUACCCCAUAUGCUUUCGAGUGAAAUGGAUUUUAUCCGCCUAGAGAGAAGCUCGCGGCUGAUUAGCUUGUUGGUAAGGUAAGAGCUUACCAAGGCGACGAUCAGUAUCUGGUUUGAGAGGACGAUCAGACACACUGGAACUGAGACACGGUCCAGACUCCUACGGGAGGCAGCAGUGGGGAAUUUUCCGCAAUGGGCGAAAGCCUGACGGAGCAAUACCGCGUGAGGGAAGAAUGCCUAUGG